rnacentral:lncRNA from 1 species
AUACCAGUUAGCUGCCUAUUGUAAGGAUUUGCUUUUAGCAAAAGCAAGAAGCAAGAGAUCCUGCAUACCAACAUUCCACACAGAACUCUCAGAAGCUAGGGAACUGAAACUCAGAGACAGUUGCUGGACAGAGUUGGUGGACUCCUUUGGAAGAGGGAGAGGCUGCUUUUCUCUAGUAGUCAGUAAAGCCCAGAGGGUUUCUGUCUGGUAUCUCUGGGGUGGACCCAGAGAGCCAGUGGUUCCCUCUUCUUUGGCUUUCUUGAUAUUCUGCCUGUUCUUGCUGCUGCUGCUACAGAGAAGUGGAUUUCAACAAUUAACUAAUAAUAAUGCCAAGGAAAACAACUCUGAAAGAUUUGAGAACUCUCUUCAGUGGAAUGACCAAUGAAAAUUCCAGAAGAUUAAUAAGGAAGCAUGCUUUCCACUUCUUGGCAGAGACCUUGACAUUACUGCAAAGAAAAAUGUGACCAGCAUUGUUACCCAGAGAGGGCAUGGGAAAUUAUCUUUCUCCUGAAAACUUGGCUGCCUCGAGGCAAAACAAAAGAAUGUGCUUGCCCAGCAUGUUGUAAUCAAUUUUUCUGUAUGUUAUUUGUUCCGAGAAUGCUUUAUACUACUUUCCUCCUCCUCAUAGUCUUUCAUCUUGCACCACCUACAUCUAUCUUUUGUCUCCCU